CUGUCAGUUUGACGUUUCCAUUCGCGGUUAUUUUGAUACGAGCCACGAGGUUGUUUAUUUUGAUAAUCAUAACCAGUUUUAAAAGAUUUUAAAAUGCUUAAUAAUAAAAGGGAACGCUGAAUUAAUUGGGAGUUAGAAGAAAUGCAACUUUUUAGAAAUAUAUAACGACCCUAUUUAUCCAUAAUUGAAAACAAAGUUUUUAGUACGAACACAAAUAAGGCGAAAAUGAAGGCUUGGAGCGAAAUAACAGAGAAGAAAACCACAUUUUAACAAAAACAAAUAAAGAAAGUUUUAGUUUCGGGGAAGCCUCAUAUGCAGAUAAACAUAGUUUUUGACCUCUGGAAAAUGAGAACCUUCAAAAUCAAUCUAUCUAAUAUAAUAUAAAUUUUAAUUUACAGACAGAUAUUCUAGUAAAGACUUUAGUCGUCACUUUAAAAUAAAUAAAAUAUUCUAAUAAAAAUGUUUCACAAAUAAAUAUAACAAUGUAUUAAAAAUGUUUUAUUUGUUAAAAUAA